UGAUUUGAGGGCUGUGGGAAAAGUCAUUCAUCAUCUACUGGCUACAGGAAAACAUGAUGUUGAUAUGAAGGCAGCCAACCUCUGAAAUGACAACUGUUUUUAUCAGCCUUGGAAAGGGCAUGGUCAAACAGAGGCACUGCUCAAGUGCCUCUCCUUCCAACCUAUAAUCAAGAAUUGUCCUAGGAAGAGAUCUUACCUCUCCAGUUGGGAUCUUUGGUUGGCUUCCUUAUCUUAAUUCUCCCCUUUUUAGGAUUUCCUCUGACAGUCCUUUUUGCUCUCAUUCCCUUAGUUGUCUCUAGAGCUUGAGUCUGACUCUUAUCUUUUACUCUCAUGGAAGGGAGGGUGCAUACUGGCUGCUCUCAUGAGAUCUGACAGAGAUAGACUUGUCCAGGGACUUAAAUCACUCAAACCCUGCAUCAUUCAGCAAAAGUCUAGGAAACUAUUUCCUGCUUAUUUCCUUAUAUUCUUCUGAUACUUGGGUUUUCAAAGUAGUUCUGUUUAAAGAAAAUUAAUAGCCUGAAUUUUAAAUUUGUUUAGUUCCUGCAAUAUUUUCUGUCAUGGCUUUCCAUAGGAAUGGUGACUUUAACAUGUCCCUUUCUGUCCAUGGUGCAUUUCAUCCUCUCAUCCAUCCUAUCUUUAUGGAGAAGAGCCACUGAACUUUCAAAGUGUAGCUCAAGCAACUUUUCCUCCAACUUCUGGGAAAUCUGAUCACUUCCCCUUUUGUGGGCUCACAGUAAUCCUGACUUUGUUCUGUAAUCACAUGUAUCAUACUUCAUGGUACUUAUUCACUUGUAUGUCUGCUGUUACUAUUAAUCCAUAAAGUCCCGAAGAUUAAGUGAGUCCAUAUAUUAAUCAUUUUCAUAUUCCUAGUGUCUAGCAGAAUGUAUAUAGUAGACAGUAAAGUCUUAUUGUCUGAACCUAGAAAGCACCAUUUGAUAGAUAACACUCAGGAGACCAAGGAUGCAGACCUGUUGAGGAACAGAAGGCAGGGAAAAGUGGAAAAAGGAGGUGCACUGGGGAGAAGCAUUUGGUUUGGUCUUUUCUGAGAAUGCUGGCAUGAUCUGGCAUUGGUAGUAACUCUGAGAUUCCUGAGAGAGGCAGGCUGGUGGGGAUCCUGAUAGAGCCUGAACGGGAGAAAGAGAGAUCAAGGCCAGAGCUGUAAAUAUGAAAAUCCUUUUCCAUAAGAGGUGUUUGAAGCCAUAGGUGUGGAUGAGAUUGCCCAGGUAGAGAGGAUAGAGUGAGAAGAGAUGAGGAACCAGGAAUCUAAAGCCAUGUGCUUGCAGGUUUGUCAGAGGAAGAGAGCAAGGAGUAAAGCUGGUGGUAACUAUGCUACAAAAGGGAAAGAUAGUCAUGUUUCUGAAAGAAUGGAUGGUCAAUGAUGUUGGUGAUCCAAUGAGAACCAGAGAAGUACUUAGUAAAACAAUGAAUACUCUUUCUUGGGGGCACCGGGAUGGCUGAGUUGGUGAAGCCUGAAGCCCUUCUAUCCAGGUCAUGAUCUCAGUGUCCUGGAAUCAAGCCCCAUAUUGGGCUCCCUGCUCAAAGCUCCUUGCAAUGAGCUUGCUUCUCCCUCUCUUUCUGCCCCUCUCCAGCUUGCUCUCUCUUCCUCUCUCUCAAAUAAGUAAAUAAAAUCUUUUUAAAAAAUGAAUAAAUAACAGGUCAAGUAAGAAAAAGAGUACCUCGAAUUCAAUGUAUCCAAAUCUGAAAUCAUUAUUUUCCCCAAUAGAGUUGAUCUGUGCUGAAAGGUCCUCAAGAGCAGUGAUGAACUAGAAAGACUAAGGGGCUAACAUGUAGUCAUACCCAUGGCUAUGAUCAAUUAUAGAGAAAGAAUAUCAAUCAUAAGUAGCAAAGGAAAAGGCACAUGGCGUGAAGUCUAGGGGAAACCAGGUGCCAGCUUUCAAGAGUCCUCUCCCAGUGGAUGCACACAAGAUGCACUUAAUGUCUCCCAGCAAUGAGUUAUGACAACACAUGUGGAAUGUUGCCAUCCAGGGAAGCUCAUUAGAACUUUAAUGCCCAGGGUUUUAUUGGGAGCUGAUCACAAUGUACUCUGUGUCUGGCAUAUACUCCAAUUCCAGACUCCAAGAAGGAAGGCAGAUGUUCGGCAUAAACCAAUUGUUAUUAAAACAGUUUGGGCACAGUGAGUCACUCUUAUCAGUUAAUGGCAGGAAUCUGCCUGAAAUCAAGUUCCCAGAUGACAGCCAAGGGCCAGCCUUGUAAACAGGCCUUCCAAAGGGCAGCAUUCAGGCCUGCUAUGUUAACUCUUCUCUGUACAGAGUUUUUAUCUAGAAUUCCUUGUUGUAGUGAAUGAAAUUAUCAUUAAUUCUACCAAGCAAGUCAGAAACCUAAGUAAGCAUCAUCCUUUGCCAUGAUCUGCUUUUAGCUGACUGGAUGGUUUUGAAUUUAUGAGGAAUAAUGAAACAAAGCUAGAACACACAUGCCCAUAUACAUAGGCAGACCUACAUUUGAAGGCUUCAAAGAGCUACCAAGGCAAUGAGCAUUUCUAGGACUAAGAUACAGAAAAAAUGAAAAAUGAAGAGAGGUGUGGGUACAUUGCCCACAAGGCAAAUGCAAAAUCAGAAAAAAAAAAAGUGGCAUCUGAGGGGUUAACAUUCUGAGCAAAGUUUUUGGUAAUGUCACAAGGCUGGACGAUGAACAACUAUAGUGUAGGACCUUCUUAGAAGUAGUCAAUUACUCCGAUUUUUUUGUUGUUAUGCUAAUGGCUGCACCCUCAGAAUAAAGCUGGACUGGAAACAUUGCACAAGCUGCAAAGAUUAAAAACCAACUUCCAACCAGCUUAAUCCCCAAACAGAGAUGAUCUGUUAGAGGAAAAAUUAAAUCUACUCUGGAGGGUGAAAACCCUGUCCAAAGCCUUGAAUGUCUACAUAAUUUUUCAUACACAGCAUUGGCACUCAAUUAAAAAAAAUUCUCCAGAUAAACAAAAAGGUAAGAUCUGACCAAAAACAAGAGAAAAAUGGAGUUCUUGUACAGGAACAUUAAAUACAUAGAUGUGUUCAUAUGUUCAUUAGUUAUAUAUAUAACAUGUUCAAAAAAUGUAAUUGCAAGAUGAAGAAUUUCCCCAGAUAAUUCAGAACUAUGAAAAAGAGGCAGUGGAAUCAUAUAAUGGAAAAAUAAAAAUAAAUGAAAUUCAUCUCAAUCAAUGGGCAUAAUAUUAUACUGAAGUACUGUAGAAAGAAUUGUUGAGCCAGAAAUAAGUCUGUGAAAUACAUCCAGACUGAAGUAUGUAAAGACAAAAGACCAGACAGAAAGAAAAGAAAGUAAGGGAUGCACGGAACAUAAUGAAAAGAUGUAAUUAUAGCUCCAAAAAGAGUGGAGAGAGAAGCAAUAGCCAGAAGCAAUAUUUGAAGAAAUAAUGGCCAAUAAUUUCACAAAAUUUUCAAAAACUGUUGAACAACAUCAAUCCUCAAAAUCAUGCCUGUGGGCCCCAAGAGGAAAAAUAUAAGGAAAGCUAUGCCUUGGACACAUCGCGGUAAUUCCCACAGACCAAAGAUAAAAGGAAAUCUUAAAAGUGUUGGAGGUGUUGAAAAGACAGGUCUUUGAAACAGCAAGAACGACGACUGACUUCUUAUGGGAAAUCAUGAGAAUCGUGAUGCAAUUGAACGAUUUCCUCAAAAUGAUGAAAGAAAAUAGCUAUGAGCCUGAAAUUCUUUACUCAUCACAAUAUUCUUCAAAAAUGAAGGUGAAAUAAAAACACUUUUAGAGAAGCAAAAAUUAAGAUGACUUGCCAGGAGUACAUCUGAUCUGAAGGAGGCAAAACAGGGAGUUUUUAUUCAAGAGGAAAGUGAUCCUGGAUGGAGACAUGGAAUGCUGAAAGGAAGACCAACAUAAAUCGGAAUGGGUAUUGACAAAAAUCAACAAAAAUAAUGUAUUGAGAUGUUUAACAUACAUGCUAAUUACAAACAUGAGAAGAACAGCAUAAAUCUUGGGAGUGUACAUUAUCGAUGACUGUGGGUGCAGUGUCACAUGGCCAAUCUCUAGAGCUCUUCAUCUUGCUUGACUGAAGCUUUAUGACCACCGAUUAGCAACUCUCCACUACCUGCUCCUGGCAGCCACCAUUCUGCACUUUAUUCUAUGGGCUCGACUAUUUCAGAUACUUCAUGGCUCCACAUGUUCCUGAGAACAAGAAUACUCCACUGCCGUGUCGGGGCUCUCAUCUUCUUUCCUAGCUGCCGGCUUGGUCGCGGGUGUGUUGAACAAGGUUAUGUCCUGACAAAACUUGGAAACAAGUGCUUUUUCUUCACCACUGCCAACCCAAACAUUUCUUCCAACGCUCAGUGAUGGUAGCACAACACGCCAUUGGACAAAUACUUACUUAGCAGCUACUAUGUGCCUGGCAUUGUUCCAAAUCAUUGAUUGACAUCAGUGAUCCAAUGGACAAAAGUAUGCCCCAGAAAUGCUUCUGUUCUGACAGUGACACAGUCACAAAUGCAGGCAAGUCAAAAGUUCAAGUGACCAGCGUGAAGUGAAUGGGCGGCAUGGGCUAGAGGAAGCAUCCAGGAGUGGCAGGGGUGGUGGCCUGCUGGACAGUGAAAGUACACCCAAGGGGACACUGAUUUUUGGCUAACACAAGGGAAUGUCAGCCUAUGCAUUUCAUUUCAAGAAAAGUCUGGAAAUCUGGAUUUUUAACAGCAAAAAUCUCUUGCUUUUAAAAUGUUGAUAAGUAGCUCAGAAGUUUUAAAGAACAUCAUUCAAUCCUCAGAUCCAAAAGAAGACA